rnacentral:lncRNA from 1 species
CCUUAAGAGAGGGAAUAUACCCAACUAGCUGGAAGAUAGCAAAUCUGAUACCCAUUUUCAAAAAGGGAGAUUCAUCUUUGCCAUCAAAUUAUAGACCGAUAUCCUUAAUUAGUUGUGUAGGAAAAGUUAUGGAAAGAGUAGUGUUUAAGCACUUAUACAAUCAUUUAAAAGCUAAUAAAUUAAUUUAUGAGUAUCAAUCAGGAUUCCUCCCUAAAAAUUCAACUGUUCAUCAACUCUUAGAAAUAUAUAAUUGCAUAUUAAACUCUUUGGAAAAAAAAAGAUAUAAAUUGUUUUGUAUUCUGUGACUUCUCUAAAGCUUUUGACAAAGUUUGGCAUAGGGGUCUUAUAUAUAAAAUGAAAGCUUAUGGUGUUGACGGAAACGUAUUGAAUUGGUUUCAGGAUUAUCUACACGACAGAAAACAGAGAGUAGUAUUAAAUAACUCGUCUUCUUCCUUCUGUAAUGUCUCAGCUGGUGUCCCCCAGGGAUCAGUUCUGGGCCCUCUUCUCUUUGUCUUAUAUAUUAAUGAUAUUGCUGAUAAGCUUACUUCACUGUGUCGGCUAUUUGCUGACGACACAUCAUUCAACUAUUCUGGUAACGAUGGAGAACAGAUUAGAUCUGUUAUUGAUCGCGACUUGAAAGAGCUGGAUGUUUGGUCUUCUAAAUGGCUUAUGUCAUUCAACCCAGAUAAAACCGAAAUUAUGAUUUUUUCAAAUAUUGAGACUCCAGACCUCAGCUUUUCCUUAAAUGGUAAAAAUAUACCUUUAAGUACAUCUCAUAAGCACCUGGGAGUUAAUUUCAGUAGUGACGCAAAAUGGAACAAUCAUAUUGAAAGUAUAAUUACAAGUGUAAAGAAACACUUAAAUGUUUUACGUAAACUUAAAUAUCGAUUAUCUCGAAAUAAUUUAGAAAAACUAUACUUAGUUUUUAUUAGACCCAUUUUCGAAUAUGCCACGGAAGUGUGGGAUAAUUGUGGAAUAGGCUACUCAAAUAAAUUAGAAAAUUUACAAUUGGAGGCCGCAAGAAUAGUAACAGGUCUACCAAUAUUUACAAAAACUGAAACUUUAUAUUCUGAGGUUGGCUGGGAAUCUCUUUUUGAAAGAAGAAGAAGAAGAAAAUUACAGAUGUUUUAUAACAUGAACCAAAAGCAUGCACCAGAAUAUCUAUGUAAUCUUGUACCUCCUUGUGUACAAAGUACAACCAACUACCCGUUGCGAAAUGGUCAAGAUAUUAUUGUUCCAUUUUGUAGACUUUCCCUUACUACUGAAUCGUUUAUUCCCUCUACUAUACGUGAAUGGAAUAAACUUGAUCCAAAAAUUCGCAGUGUCGACUCUAUUUCUAAAUUUAAGAAAGAAUUAAAAAACGAUAGUCUAGUAUGUAAAAUUGAAACGUUUUAUUUGUACGGCCCAAGGAAAUUAAAUAUUAUCUUAACGCAAUUGCGAUGUUCCGCUUCAUCCUUAAACAAUGACCUAUUUAGAGCUAACAUUAUAAAUGAUCCCUCUUGUCAUUGUGGGUCCGAUAUUGAGGAUGUCUACCAUUACUUUUUCGUUUGCCCAAAAUACACAUUAUGUAGGAAAAACUUAUUCGAUAACCUUAACUGGCUAUCUGAAAACUUUGUUUUAGAUACAAAACUAUUAAUUUGCGGACACUUGGAACUUUCGAACGAACAAAAUAUUCAAAUUUUCAAACAUGUUCAGAAUUACAUAAAAAGGUCAAACAGAUUUCUUAUGCCUUGAUAGAGCGUUAUUAUUGCUGACACAGGACGUCAUCGUUGCCAUCAAUCCACAAGUCAUCGUCACAGAAGUAUACGAUUUUUCAAACUUUCUUUUUCCUUUUUUACUUUGUCUCCUCUUUGUUCACCUAUGAAAGCUAGUAUUAUAUUGUAUAAACUGUUUGUUUUAUAUGCAUGUCCAUUAUAUUAUACUAUUAUUGUAACUUUAUAUUGUAUUAUGGAGAAGACUUCAUAAGUAUGAUUUACUUGUGUCUAAUCCAUUUUGCUUUAAUUCAGCAAAUAAAAUAUGUUUAAACUAAACAGAUUGGUUUAUCUACGACUAGCUAGAAAACGUAUGUUCACCUGUUAUGUGACCCAACCACCAUCUUGUUAUGACUGUAAAGUUACAUCUGGAAGAUGAAUGUUGACAAGUCGUGUACUAGCUUUGAUGAAACAUAAAUCAUUCUAUCAACAGGAACCAAGCUACGACUUUACAGUUACCUUUUUUCAAGAAGAUCUACACAUUCU